AUUGAACGCUGGCGGCAUGCCUUACACGUGCAAGUCGAACGGCAGCACGGGGCAACCUGGUGGCGAGUGGCGAACGGGUGAGUAAUGCAUCGGAACGUACCUUUCAGUGGGGGAUAACGUAGCGAAAGUUACGCUAAUACCGCAUAUUCUGUGAGCAGGAAAGCAGGGGAUCGCAAGACCUUGCGCUGAUUGAGCGGCCGAUGUCAGAUUAGCUAGUUGGUGGGGUAAAGGCUCACCAAGGCCACGAUCUGUAGCGGGUCUGAGAGGAUGAUCCGCCAAACUGGAACUGAGACACGGUCCAGACUCCUACGGGAGGCAGCAGUGGGGAAUUUUGGACAAUGGGGGCAACCCUGAUCCAGCCAUGCCGCGUGAGUGAAGAAGGCCUUCGGGUUGUAAAGCUCUUUCGGCCGGGAAGAAAUCGCACGUGCUAAUACCCUGUGUGGAUGACGGUACCGGAAUAAGAAGCACCGGCUAACUACGUGCCAGCCGCCGCAGUAAAAC
rnacentral:rRNA from 1 species